rnacentral:rRNA from 1 species
AUGGGUUCUAUUCCCAAACCGUGUAUACAUACCUUUGUUGCUUUGGCAGGCCGCCUUUUAGGCGUCGGCUCCGGCUGACUGCGCCUGCCAGAGGACCCAAACUCGUUUGUUUAGUGAUGUCUGAGUACUAUAUAAUAGUUAAAACUUUCAACAACGGAUCUCUUGGUUCUGGCAUCGAUGAAGAACGCAGCGAAAUGCGAUAAGUAAUGUGAAUUGCAGAAUUCAGUGAAUCAUCGAAUCUUUGAACGCACAUUGCGCCCCUUGGUAUUCCGAGGGGCAUGCCUGUUCGAGCGUCAUUAUAACCACUCAAGCCUCGGCUUGGUCUUGGGGUUCGCGGUCUCGCGUCCCUUAAAAUCAGUGGCGGUGCCGUCUGGCUCUAAGCGUAGUAAUUCUCUCGCUAUAGGGUCCCGGCGGUUGCCUGCCAGAACCCCCCAUUUUUUACGGUUGACCUCGGAUCAGGUAGGGAUACCCGCUGAACUUAAGCAUAUCAAUAAGCGGAGGAA